ensembl:snoRNA
AUGACCAGUAAUGACAGUUGGUGGCGUAUGAGUCAUGGAUGAUGAGAGCCUCUUAAAAUGCAGCUUCAGAUUCACUCAGUCUGAGGAACGGUCUGA